rnacentral:rRNA from 1 species
UCAGGAUGAACGCUAGCGGCAGGCUUAACACAUGCAAGUCGAGGGGCAGCGCGAGUAGCAAUACUUGGCGGCGACCGGCGCAAGGGUGCGUAACGCGUGAGCAACAUGCCCGUAUCAGGGGGAUAAUCCAGGGAAACUUGGUCUAAUACCCCAUAGUAAUUUUGUAAGGCAUCUUAUAAGAUUUAAAGCUUUGGUGGAUACGGAUUGGCUCGCGUGACAUUAGCUGGAUGGUAAGGUAACGGCUUACCAUGGCUAUGAUGUCUAGGGGUUCUGAGAGGAAGGUCCCCCACACUGGAACUGAGACACGGUCCAGACUCCUACGGGAGGCAGCAGUGAGGAAUAUUGGACAAUGGAUGGAAAUCUGAUCCAGCCAUGCCGCGUGAAGGAAAGAAGGUCCUAUGGAUUGUAAACUUCUUUUGUAUGGGAGCAAUAAGGCCUACGAGUAGGUUGAUGAGAGUACCAUACGAAUAAGCACCGGCUAACUCCGUGCCAGCAGCUGC